AUACUUUCUCGCCUUUUGGCUAAGAUCAAGUGUAGUACUGUUCUUAUCAGUUUAAUAUCUGAUAUGUGGGCCAUGGUCCACACGAUAUUUAAAUUUAUUAUUAAGGGGGAAGGACCGGCACAAUAGAUGCUAUGGUGGUCUUCAAGAGUCGCCCAAGUGCUGCACUACUGCUCGGGCCAGCUCACCCCAC